rnacentral:rRNA from 1 species
UACGUAGGGUGCGAGCGUUAAUCGGAAUUACUGGGCGUAAAGUGUGCGCAGGCGGCCGAGCAAGUCGAGUGUGAAAGCCCCGGGCUUAACUUGGGAAUUGCGCUCGAAACUACUUGGCUGGAGUGUGGCAGAGGAAGGUGGAAUUCCAGGUGUAGCGGUGAAAUGCGUAGAGAUCUGGAGAAACACCGAUGGCGAAGGCAGCCUUCUGGGCCAACACUGACGCUCAUGCACGAAAGCGUGGGGAGCAAACAGG